rnacentral:rRNA from 1 species
AUUGAACGCUGGCGGCAUGCUUUACACAUGCAAGUCGAACGGCAGCACAGCAGAGGUAACUCUGUGGGUGGCGAGUGGCGAACGGGUGAGUAAUACAUCGGAACGUACCCUGUUGUGGGGGAUAACUACGCGAAAGCGUAGCUAAUACCGCAUACGCCCUGAGGGGGGAAAAGCGGGGGGACCCUAAAUAGAGCGCACUGGGGAGUGCGUUGUAUUUAGGGCCUCGCGCAAUAGGAGCGGCCGAUGUCGGAUUAGCUAGUUGGUGAGGUAAAGGCUUACCAAGGCGACGAUCCGUAGCUGGUCUGAGAGGAUGAUCAGCCACACUGGGACUGAGACACGGCCCAGACUCCUACGGGAGCAGCAGUGGGGAAUCUUCCACAAUGGGCGCAAGCCUGAUGGAGCAAUGCCGCGUGCAGGAGACGCUUUUCGGAGUGUAAACUGCUUUUCUGUAAGGAAGAUUAUGACGGUACUUCAGGAUAAGGAUCGGCUAACUACGUGCCG